UUUGAAGAAGCUAAUAAGCAUACCCCUGUUAACGGUACUUUAGGUUCAACCUCUCAAAA
rnacentral:tRNA from 1 species